GAGUGGCGAACGGGUGAGUAAUACAUCGGAACGUGUCCUGUAGUGGGGGAUAGCCCGGCGAAAGCCGGAUUAAUACCGCAUACGAUCUACGGAAGAAAGCGGGGGAUCUUAGGACCUCGCGCUAUAGGGGCGGCCGAUGGCAGAUUAGCUAGUUGGUGGGGUAAAAGCCUACCAAGGCGACGAUCUGUAGCUGGUCUGAGAGGACGACCAGCCACACUGGGACUGAGAUACGGCCCAGACUCCUACGGGAGGCAGCAGUGGGGAAUUUUGGACAAUGGGGGAAACCCUGAUCCAGCAACGCCGCGUGUGUGAAGAAGGCCUUCGGGUUGUAAAGCACUUUUGUCCGGAAAGAAAACUUCCUGGUUAAUAGCUGGGGAGGAUGACGGUACCGGAAGAAUAAGCACCGGCUAACUACGUGCCAGCAGCCGCGGUAAUACGUAGGGUGCGAGCGUUAAUCGGAAUUACUGGGCGUAAAGCGUGCGCAGGCGGUUCGUUAAGAUAGAUGUGAAAUCCCCGGGCUUAACCUGGGAACUGCAUUUGUGACUGGCGAGCUAGAGUAUGGCAGAGGGGGGUAGAAUUCCACGUGUAGCAGUGAAAUGCGUAGAGAUGUGGAGGAAUACCGAUGGCGAAGGCAGCCCCCUGGGCCAAUACCGACGCUCAUGCACGAAAGCGUGGGGAGCAAACAGGAUUAGAUACCCUGGUAGUCCACGCCCUAAACGAUGUCAACUAGUUGUUGGGGAUUCAUUUCCUUAGUAACGUAGCUAACGCGUGAAGUUGACCGCCUGGGGAGUACGGUCGCAAGAUUAAAACUCAAAGGAAUUGACGGGGACCCGCACAAGCGGUGGAUGAUGUGGAUUAAUUCGAUGCAACGCGAAAAACCUUACCUACCCUUGACAUGGUCAGAACCCUGCUGAAAGGUGGGGGUGCUCGAAAGAGAACCGAUACACAGGUGCUGCAUGGCUGUCGUCAGCUCGUGUCGUGAGAUGUUGGGUUAAGUCCCGCAACGAGCGCAACCCUUGUCCUUAGUUGCUACGCAAGAGCACUCUAAGGAGACUGCCGGUGACAAACCGGAGGAAGGUGGGGAUGACGUCAAGUCCUCAUGGCCCUUAUGGGUAGGGCUUCACA
rnacentral:rRNA from 1 species